CCCCUACGGGAGGCAGCAGUGGGGAAUAUUGGACAAUGGGGGGCAACCCCUGAUCCAGCAAUUCUGUGUGCACGAAGACGGUUUUCGGAUUGUAAAGUGCUUUCAGCAGGGAAGAAGUAAGUGACGGUACCUGCAGAAGAAGCGACGGCUAAAUACGUGCCAGCAGCCGCGGUAAUGGGG
rnacentral:rRNA from 1 species